GUUUUUGUAGUUUAUAAAAACAGUAACUUUGUAAGUUAAAAAAAGCAUUUGCUCAAAAACU
rnacentral:tRNA from 1 species